rnacentral:rRNA from 1 species
UACGUAGGGUGCGAGCGUUGUUCGGAUUCAUUGGGCGUAAAGGGCUCGUAGGCGGUUUGUCGCGUCGGGAGUGAAAACCAUGGGCUUAACUCAUGGCUUGCUUCCGAUACGGGCAGACUAGAGGUAUGCAGGGGAGAACGGAAUUCCUGGUGUAGCGGUGAAAUGCGCAGAUAUCAGGAGGAACACCGGUGGCGAAGGCGGUUCUCUGGGCAUUACCUGACGCUGAGGAGCGAAAGUGUGGGGAGCGAACAGG